rnacentral:rRNA from 1 species
UACGAAGGGGGCUAGCGUUGCUCGGAAUCACUGGGCGUAAAGCGCACGUAGGCGGAUUUCUAAGUCAGGGGUGAAAUCCUGGAGCUCAACUCCAGAACUGCCUUUGAUACUGAAGAUCUUGAGUUCGGGAGAGGUGAGUGGAACUGCGAGUGUAGAGGUGAAAUUCGUAGAUAUUCGCAAGAACACCAGUGGCGAAGGCGGCUCACUGGCCCGAUACUGACGCUGAGGCACGAAAGCGUGGGGAGCAAAGCAGG